rnacentral:tRNA from 1 species
GGGGGUGUGGCUCAGUGGUAGAGUGCUUGCCUAGCAUGUGUGAGGAACUGAGUUUGAUUCUCAGCACCACAU